UCUAUGGAUUCAUUACAUCUUUUUAGUUAUUCCGAAAAAGAAAAAGAAUAGAAAAGAGGAAGCUGUCGUUACAAUGAUGUCUAGCUUCCAUCUACGUUCAUUGAUCAAUACUUUCCAGCGAGUCAUGCGCGCGUUAGGAGACCACCGCUCUCUCGACUUCGUUCGUUCCAUUUUCGAUGUCCUUUUUUCUAGAUUCUAUUUACCACCGUCAUGAUUAAGGACAAAAUCUCAAGGCGGGUGUGAUAUGGGGAUAACCGGAUAAUCAUCAAUAACUCCCAACAAAUUGACUUUAGAGAACGACAAAAGUAGGCAAGAAAAUUAUUGGAUUGGCCAACAAUGAGAAGAUAAAAGCCAUGUUGCGUACUCGAAGCUUUAAGACACGUCUGAACAUCCAAGAGAAUGACUCAAACACCUACGGAAGUAAAACGUUUUCUAUAUGUUUCUAAAAUUUUUACUGCAUAAACCUAAAUUACUGCGAAAUAAUAUGAGUGGUGGAUUUGAGACGUUUCUAUGUCAAUCCUGCCGUUGCGUGCGUUUUUGUUUUUAAGCAACGUCAAUUAAUGCCAUACAACUAUCAAAGCAUAAACUUCAUUUUUUUCGUGGAGGUUCGGCUUCACUCUCUAUCCUAAACAUCUCCUGCAAUAAGGACACGCAAAGGUUGAUUACGAUGCUUAAACAAAACAACUUAUAAACUUAUGCAAAAUCGUGUCAUUUUUUUACCUUUCUUUUGACAGCAAGAAUCUGGCUUUUGUUUUCUUUCUCUUCAUGGACACAUUGACCGCACCAGUCUGAGAAUUCCGGUUCAUAAGUUUGCAUCUCUCUAAACAAAGAGCUGCAAUGGAAAAGCAGAAAAAAAAUAUGAUUCAACUGUGAUCUGAAAUCUUGAGGCAAGCUUCAAAGUUUCUUACUUCUGGCACCAAAGAAUCAUAUUGGCCCGACGACCAGAUGCUGUGGCUCUAGCACCAUGGACGUGGCAGCCACGGUGAAGUAUAGCUUGACCCGGUAUAUGGCAGUAAUCAAAAUAUUCCUGCUACAAAGGAAGCUACUCAAAAGGACUCAAAUACCUCUGGCUUUGGAUCUAUAUCCAUAUGUUUAUUGCAUCGUGCGCCUGCGAAAAGUAUCACAAUUCAUGUUUGCACUUCAGGAAAGUAAUAUCACAAGACUCACCUACGUCAGCAUCCCUAUCUUCACCAUUUUCAAUAAAAAAUCCAUAGUGAGAGUCAAACAUUGUUCCACACACUUCAGGAAAGAAUACUGCAAAACAACAGAGUUAAGUUUCGCUGUAUUUUCUUAAAAUAAGCUUUAACCAAUAAAAGUCUUUCGAAUGCAUUUAAGUAAAAUAUAUGUCUUGCCUUUGCAAAUAGGAAAGAUAAAAUCAUCCAUGAGUUGCUUAAGCAUAAUAUCCAGGCCAAAGUCGUCAAGUACAACACCGUAUUUACUCGUGUUGUCUGGUCUCCUGAUCGUGAAGUUUGUCUCAUUAGCCCACUUUCUGAAAUUCUCUACCUGGUUAAUCAAACAGCAGAAAAUGAACAAAAGUAAACCAAAGAGGUAAGAGCACGGCAGAUAAUAAGUGGCAAGAUGAUGGGUUAUUGUUACCUCUAAUAGCAAUUUCUCAGAGAAGUCAGGCUGAAACAUUUUAAAGACAAAAACACCAGGAAACGGUUCAGAAAUGAUACGUCUGAAGCUUUCCUCUGUGUUUUCGCUGAUCGCCUUGCGGAACGAGGGAAGCAAAAACAAUUUGGGAUCAAGUUUAUACAACCCCUUGAAACGUGGCUGCAAGAAAAGGAAACAUUGCAUAAAGAAAGUCUAAGAAAGCAAAGACGAGCAAAGGCUCCUCACCUGAUAAUUGGAUAUUAUCUCUUGCCUAUAGGUCUUGCGCCGUUUAGCCUGGAACAUUAUAUACACAUGAACUAUUCUGAGAAACUGUGGGUUUAAACAUCAGAUUCUUAUGUGUUCACAAG